ensembl:lncRNA
GUUCCUCUUGGAGUCUUUCUGGUGAGCCUAGGGUUGGUGCUUGAGAUGCUCAAGGAAUUGCAGGUGUGAACAGGAAUAUACUCUUGCUUUAAUUAGUCAGCUCGUCUGCACAACUGAAGAGCUGAACGUGGAACUUCUGAAAGCGCCAAUGAGGAACUGCGUAUUGAAUCACACUCCUGCUGGUGAGACACACUGGCUCUCUGAGGACAGCCCAAUUGAAGAGGGCAGCGCAUAACAAGCUGUGGAUACAGAUGUCCAUCCCACAGAUGUGGCAGCAGAAUGCAGUCACACUAACACAGGUUAACCAACAUCUGCUUCACCUUUAAAGCACCUCCAAACCUGUCCAGUGGCUAAAUCGUUCCAUCCUCUUCUUGGGAUGGAGAUAUUCAGAAUAUGCCUGUGCCUACAGAAUGAGGUUCCUUAUCUUUAUAGGGAACAGAAUUAGGAAAGAGUGGAAAGGAUAAAGAAUUCAUCACAGGAAAAUUAUCUGCUGCCGAGAAAGGUUUUUCUCAUGGAAAUCAGUCACCACCCAUCAGCGUGGCAGCACAGGCUCUUCGGGCCUGAAAACCACUAAGUGAGAGAACUGGUGUGUUUAAAAAGUGCUGGGGCAUUUCAGCAAUACAGGGUAAUGCACUCACAUCAGAACUGUCCUCUGUUGCACAAGCACUGUACAGAAUCUAUGUCAAAAC